UACAGAGGGUGCAAGCGUUGUUCGGAAUUAUUGGGCGUAAAGGGAGUGUAGGCUGUUUGUUAAGUCUUCUGUGAAAUCUACGGGCUUACCCUGUAAAGUGCAGAGGAAACUAGCAGACUUGAGUGUCGGAGAGGAUAGGGGAAUUCCCGGUGUAGAGGUGAAAUUCGUAGAGAUCGGGAGGAACACCAGUGGCGAAGGCGCCUAUCUGGCUGAGUAACUGACGCUGAGACUCGAAAGCAUGGGGAGCAAACAGG
rnacentral:rRNA from 1 species